CACUCUUUCCCUAAACCACGCUCUUCUGAUGUAUGUCAAACCCUCUAGUGCUGGUUUCCACGUACAAAAUGUGCUUAAAAGUUAAUGAGAUGCCAAGAAACAUAGUUUAAAAUAUUAUACAGAUUUUCAUUACACACAUAUGACACAAAAACAUGUUCCUUUAAUCA